UAGCUCAGUCGGUUAGAGCAUGGUGCUGGUAACAGCAAGGCCGCGGGUUGGAUCCCCGU
rnacentral:tRNA from 1 species